rnacentral:rRNA from 1 species
UACGUAGGGUGCAAACGUUGCUCGGAAUCAUUGGGCGUAAAGCGCACGUAGGCGGAUCUUUAAGUCAGGGGUGAAAUCCCAAGGCUCAACCUUGGAACUGCCCUUGAUACUGGGGAUCUCGAGUCCGGAAGAGGUUGGUGGAACUCCGAGUGUAGAGGUGAAAUUCGUAGAUAUUCGGAAGAACACCAGUGGCGAAGGCGGCCAACUGGUCCGGCACUGACGCUGAGGUGCGAAAGCGUGGGGAGCAAACAGG